rnacentral:rRNA from 1 species
AAUCAACGCUGGCGGCGUGCCUAACACAUGCAAGUCGAACGAGAAAGUGUAGCAAUACAUGAGUACAGUGGCGACCGGGUGAGUAACACGUGACUAACCUACCUUCUUGUGGGGAAUAACCUUCCGAAAGGAGGGCUAAUACCGCAUAACAUCGCGAGGUGAGAUUCCUUGUGAUCAAAGGAGCAAUCCGCAGGAAGAGGGGGUCGCGGCUGAUUAGCUAGUUGGUGAGGUAACGGCUCACCAAGGCAGUGAUCAGUAUCCGGCCUGGGAGGGCGCACGGACACACUGGAACUGGAACACUGUCCAGGAUCCUACGUGAGGCAGCAGUUGGGUAUUUUGCGCAAUGGGGGAAACUCUGACGCAGCAACGCCGCGUGGAGGAUGAAGGUCUUUGGAUUGUAAACUCCUUUCGAUCGGGACGAUGAUGACGGUACCGGAAGAAGAAGCACCGGCUAACUCUGUGCCAGCCGCCGCAGUAACAC